AAGACAAACAAACAAACAGAAGAGUCAAGGUCCCCAGGUUUAAUAAACCCCUGGAAUUCUGAAAGAACUGUGUGCGUGUUUACCAAGCUGUUGUCCUGCAUCUAAAACCAAAAGCAUCCCCUGCCUACACUGCUUUCCUAGAAGUCUGUGAGGAAAGAUUAGGUGCUAAUAAUUGACAGCAAGCGGAACCUGAAUCAGGCAUAAGAAGAGACACGAAAUGACGUAUGUAAUCUUAGGCUGUGCUGCUGAGAGCUUGACACCCAGACGGAGAGUUUAGUCUCCCUCUGUUUAUUUCUGGCAGUUGGGAGGACUGGAGAAAAUGCCACGAGAGAAAUAUGUGCUAGCUAUGUUUGUAAAUCCUGAACAAGACUUAGCCAUGAGGAAGGACUCCGACAGCUGUCUUCCAAUAUUUCAAGGAUUAUAAAGUAUGAAUGAAGCAGCAUAUUGUGCAUAGCUUCAGAGGACAGAACCAAGAACAAAGUUUGGGAGUUACAGGGAAGGAAAUUUCUUUCCAUAGAAGAGAUUCUAACCAUGUCUUAAAUGUAUAUAAUGUAUAAUCCACACAUAGUCUCAUGUGCAUCAUUUCACGUUAGGAAGAACUCCCGAACCGUUGGUGAUAGAAUGAGCUGCCAGGCAGGUGGAAGCAGAGACGAAGGCAUGACGUUAGACGAGACGAACUAGAAGACUGUUUCCAACGCAGAGGGUGAAUCUGCCCAGAGGUGCUUCCCAGGCAGUUUCUAAACUGAGAGGAAAUAAGGGGGAAAAAGCAUCUUGAAUCAAUUCAUCCUUGUCUGUCUCCGCUUAUACUUUUCAAAGUAGAAAAAAGAGAAAAGUCUGGGUUCGCCACAUGGAAAGGAGGUGAGUGAGGACCUUGGUUCUUUAGGGUGUUCAAGGGGAUGCGGGCUGCCUCCCUUCUGGGGGUUUCUGCCUUGGGAGGACAAUGCACGGUAUGACCCCUAGCUCCUGUCUAACGUCAAGAGUCUGCGAAGCUGUAUUUCACCCUCAACUCGUGACCUUCUCCCCUUGUUUCUUGUUGGAGGAAGUCAUUUUCACUCUCUGGACCUCAAGGGACCUUUCUAUUAGAUGAGGCUGUUGAAGUCUGGGAUCUUUGGAGGGACCUCACAUUCUGCAGGGAUACAGUUUUACCGAGGAUUUUUCGGGCCUAAGGAGGAAUCACAUUUCUCCGUGCUUCUGCUUCCGAGGACAAUAUUAGGUAAACUGAGAGGCAGAAAGAGAAUUCCAGAGUCGGGCAGAGUUACGGAUAGAAGAGCUUCAAGUUUUCAGGCUGGAAGGACCUUCACAGACUAUCUUAUCCCUAAUCGGACUGCCAGGUGGGGCCACGUAGAAUGCAGCCGCGUGUUCUUAGGUCUGCCGUGUUCUCCUCCGAAGUGUUCUCGUUGAGAAGGUAA